ACAUUAAUUUAUAACUUUCAUGUUGUUUUGCAAAUUUGAUUUGAUUUUAAAGGAAUCCCAGAUAGUUAAUUAGAAGUCUGCUAGAUUUUAUCAGAUCACAUGACCAGCUCCUAGUUACCUGUGUCUUUCCUCCACAAGAGGUAAGAGCCUGGGAACGAGGUUGGUGCAAAACAAGUGCACCACAAAGUUCAAGACAUACUAUUUUUGAAGAAAUGCCAAGGCUUAUGAUUCUGAACUAACGAACUCACACAGCGAAUAUGAAGUAAUGCAAUUCAUUUGGGCACUGCAACCAAAGUGUUCAACAGAAAUUCCAGAAAUUUUGUGGCCUGAUGCCUAUUGAAUAUCACUAGAUAGGACUAUGUGUAUUUAUAUAAUUAUAUCUAUGGAGGACUUGUAUUUCGAACAUGUAAUAGAAUGAGACAAUGAUGGCAGUGAAACUACAAAGAUUGUUGAUUUAUGCAAAUGAAUUUGACUUCGGGAUUGGUAGCACUGGACUGCGAGCUUGCUUCUGUUGAAGUGCUUUGAUAUAGGUAAUAGGAUGGAACUACAUCAAAGCAUACUUCCUUAAUUGUGAUGUCAGGAUUGGUAGCAGAGGCUUUUCUAUUCAAGUGCUUUGUUGGAGGUAGUUGCCUGCCUUAUACUUCUGUGUCAGUUAAUCGCGAACGGUCACACCACAGUUAAUCUUGUGCCAGUGUAGGUAGUGCCAACAAUGACAAAACUUUGGUUGGUAUGAGUGCAACUACCUGAAAAAUAAAAGGGCAAAAUUUGACAUUUCGAAUGAAGGGCCUUCACUCGAAAUGCCGAAUUUCUCCUUGUAUUUUUCAGGUAGUUGCUUUCAUACCAACUGACGUUCUGUGUCAGUUAACUAGAAUUAUAUAUAAGAUGCUAGUUAUGGCUAUAUGGAGUUGAUCUUUCUUCUAAUGAAGUUUUUUUGCUGAAGUGUGCAUCAUGACUUAUUUAAAUACAUCUAAAUCAUUCCGCCUCGUAUCUCAUCCUGGCAAAGCGGGAUCAUAAAAACAGUCCCUUAUUCAGCAAAUUGCGCAUGCUGCCUUUGAUCCCUUGGGGGUGAGGCAGCACUUUCCUUGCGAUAGUAACUUCUAGUAUAUAAGAUGCUAGUUAUGGCUAUAUGGAGUUGAUCUUUCUUCUAAUUCUGGCUACGUACUGACUCUGUCUGUCGACGCCCUGCCGAAAGUCGUGGGUUUUCUUUGGGCACUUUGGUUUCCUCCCACAGGGAAAGUUGACAAGGUGGGUUAGGAUAAACACAGUUUUAGAAAGUAAUCAUAAUUGUUGUAAAGAUAAAUAGUCUAGGCUAGGUAAGUAACAUAGGUAAGCAUAAUACUUGAUGUAAUCGGUCACUGAAGAGCCGCAGUGGGGAGUGAACUAAUGUAAUGUAAUGUAAUGUAAUUACAAUGGUGUGGCAUAAGUUGUUUAAAAUUGUGUACGUGGUAAAAUAUCAGAUAUUUGACAACUGUGAAAUAGUGUUGUUUCCACGAAGACAGAUAGAGAAACACUAGAUCAUCUAUUAAAUGAUCAUAAAAUAAGUUUUUGAUGAAGUCAUAAAUUAAUAUUGAGAUAAAGAUAAAAUUUUUGACAGGGCACAUUUUUCACUUGUACAAAUGGCACGUACUACAACGAAAAUAGUUUAGGAAUACCGGUUGAAAAAUUACUUCCCAGUCAGGUAAAACCUUGGAUUUAAGAUGGAGCAAUUAAGUCCAGUGACCAGUUAGCAGUGACAUUCUCUACGAAGAAACAAGAAGUACACACUAAGAAAAUAAUUAUCAGUGAGCUGCAUUCACUUGUCGAACCAUUUGCUGUUAUUUCGUUUAAAUUACAUACUAUUUAAUAUGGACCGGGGGGGUCCAUAUCCACUAGUAGAUUUGGACCAGGGAGUCCAAAUCUACGGGGGUCCAAAUCAACUGGGACAGCGGCACUCAUUCAAGGGCGGUGUUCUUUAUAAAAUAUCUAACUAUAUUAUAUCUAUAUAUUAAUAUUAAUCUAUCUACAAAAAGUUCUAACAUAGGUUAUCAGGCCCAUGGAGACACUAGUAGGAUGAGCUGGUACAUCUGGCACAAUGUAUUACACAAGGGUGGGUGAUCAGGUUAAGGAGCUAACUUUUCCAGAAGUAUGAUAUAGCCUAGAACUUGUCUCCUGUAUCAAACAACAGCUUAUCUGUUAAGGCCAUUUCCACUCGAGAAAAAUUUCCAUGGAAAGAAAAUGUUCCAAAAAUGUCAUUGUUAAAAUGUCAUUGUGUCGGCCAAUCUCAUUUUACAAAAUUUUCUUUCUGCGUAAAAUUUUUCCUGAGUGGAAAUGGGCCUUUAGACGAGAGUUGUAAGCAGUCUGUUUAUAAUCGUGUUUAGCAUGUAAAAGAUUAGAAUGAAAAAAGAGGAAGACAUGUUGAAACACGGGAAAAUUGGGGAGCUUAAGGCUAAGCAAGCAAGAAAGCAACGUGAAAACAAUGGUUGUGAAUUCAUUGAAAUAUCAUUUAGCCCAGAUGAAAUGAAUAAUUAAAUUUUAAAAUGAAUAAUUAAAUAUCCAAGUCCUUAAUAAACCAACGGAACGAUGUUUUAAUACUGACGAAAACCAACAACAAAUUAAUUUGUGGAUUUCACUAUGAGAUUAGUGGUGGAUUUACGAAGGAAUAGUUUACAAAAAAGUACUGAACACUUAAGAUAAGCUUACCUCAACUUAGAGUAGAACGUGUCGCGAUGUCUUGUUGGAAUGUACGAUAGAGUACAUGGCGAUUACCCUCUGAUUUUGAAACUAGCAUCUGAAUUCAUUUACGCUAUCUAGUAAGGAACUCCAUCGAAAAUGUAUUUGCUUCUAUUUGGUUGUAAUUAACCUAACAAUUAAGAGCGUUUCACCUGGUACUUUUAGUAAAAUUGUUGACCAAGGAAUUUAAGACAUCACAAAAUAAAACAGAACAGAACAGAACAGAACAAAUGAAUUGUAUUCCGACUACGCGAAGGCGUUUGUUACAGCUUUGUAUGCAUGCCCUAUGAUGUGAUAAAGGUUGUGUCCCACAUUGAUGUGAACAGCCCCAGCCCACAUCAAUGUCUUCA